CUACGGGACGCUCCAGUGAGGAAUAUUGCACAAUGGGGGGAACCCUGAUGCAGCAACGCCGCGUGGAGGAUGACGCAUUUCGGUGUGUAAACUCCUUUUAUAUGUCAAGAAAAUGACGGUAGCAUAUGAAUAAGCGCCGGCUAACUCCGUGCCAGCAGCCGCGGUAAUACGGAGGGUGCAAGCGUUACUCGGAAUCACUGGGCGUAAAGGACGCGUAGGCGGGUUGGAAAGUCAGGUGUGAAAUCCUACAGCUUAACUGUAGAACUGCACUUGAAACUUCUAAUCUAGAGUAUGGGAGGGGGAGAUGGAAUUAGUGGUGUAGGGGUAAAAUCCGUAGAUAUCACUAGGAAUACCUAAAGCGAAGGCGAUCUCCUGGAACAUUACUGACGCUAAGGCGUGAAAGCGUGGGGAGCAAACAGGAUUAGAUACCCGUGUAGUC
rnacentral:rRNA from 1 species